AGUGGAGACUUUUUAGAACACGGAAUGACUCCAACAAGGGUCAGACUCUAACAACCAAACAACAACAAUCAACAACUACUUCACAGUUCUCAGAGAUCAGCCCUGCCACGGGAAACGCACAGUAAAGCAAGAGCAGGGUUGACAUUCUCUGUGAAAUGGCAUCAGGCAUGACUCUGGAGCAAUCUUACAGAUGGAUAGCCUUGAUCUCCUUCCACCAGUUGGCUAAAGGAUUGAAUUUUUUACUAUCUGUAGGAGAUAGUCUAUGAUCUUGUUCCAAAUAUCUGAAUAAACUUUAAGAACCACAGUGCAAUCACUUGGACACGAUCCCAGAUCCAUCCGUCCAUUCAUCCAUCCACCCAUCCAUCCAUCAUUCACGAUUGACUCAAUAUCCUGCUGGGAGCUGGGAAAAAAGAGACAUGAAGUAUCCCUGCCUCUGAGCAGCUUUCAGUGCAGAUGGUAUGCCAGGGACAAUAUACAAGACAGAAUAGAGUUCAUUCAAGUAUUCUAUGUUUUGUUAUUUAGUUUUCAAAUAUGAACCCUGGAUGGAACCAGGCUUUGUUCCCCCAAGUUAUCAGCUAAAGAGAAAGAGCUCAGCCAAGUGACAAGGUGUUGCCGCAGUGAUAACUCAAUUUUGUGGUUUUCAGAAAUGCAGAAGAAAGAAGGUUGGAAAGAAUGGGCUGGCACUCCCCGAAGAGUGGGGCUCAAAGUUCUGGUCUCAGCAGAUCUUUGAGGGAGACGUAGGGUCUAGGCCGGCAAAACCAGAGAGAAGGAUAGGCUUUUAGAUGCUCAUCCCACCCAAAACCAUGAAAUAAUCUCCCCUGUCUCCUGAUUAGUAUUUGUCAGCCUCAUUUACCCUUAAGAUUUGUGCAAAUGAAAAACGUUAAAUGCAGUUCCUGGAUCAGUAAUUAAACAUAAUUAUUUCAGUGGAAGAGAUUUUUGUUUUCAUAAUCUCCUCUUUGUCUGCAUAGAGCCAGCUCUUGGUUACAUCUGCCACUGAUAGCCUUUGCUCUGUUUACUUUAAAGAAUAAGCCACUGUUUGAUUUGGUUUCUUGUUUUCAAUAUGUAAACCCUGGUCUCUUGAUUCCCCAUUCCAGGAAGGAAAAAAUAAAAGAACAAGGCUCUUUAAAUAUCAGAGCCAUGAUGACUUAACAGAUACACGCAGGCUCAAUAUUUUAUGUAACAGCCACUUAGGAAAAUGCGUAAGAAUUUCCCAGCUGGCAGCCCUGAUUUGGCAGGUGUACCUCAAUUGAACCAAUCGCUUUUCAUCUGGCUGUCAAUUUGUUUGGUUUUUCUGGCUACAUUGCACCAGAGUCUGUGUGUAUUCCAAAAGGUCGUUCACCUAUUCCACGGUUCAAAGGGAUCAUUCUGUUCACUUAAAGGGUCACUGUAAUCAUAUAUUGAAACAUAGCUAAGUACGAUGAGCUAGAAUUUUAGGAGGGGUAAAACUAAUAGGAAAAUCCAGGAGUAUAAACCACAAAACACACAUAAAAAAAGAGAUAAAAACAGAAAACAUAAUUCCUCAAUUAAAAAAAAAAAGGAACCAAAAAGAAAAAAAAUCUAUAACAAACCACACUGUAGGAGUCUCACUAUACACUAAAAUUAACAAUCACAGCUGGGGUAAAUACUUUAUUUAUUUUAUUCAUAUUCUGCACUGGCAGCAUAUUCUAGUUGCCUGUUUGAUUUCAUUAAUCCAAAGCAAAAGAGAAGUAGAGAUUUAUGUAAAUUUCAUGUUAUGCUCAGAUUGUAAGGGAGCCACUAAUUGAACUUCAGGUCUUCCUUAUUGGAAGGAAGACCUGAAGAUGAAUGGCUUCAUGAAAUAAUCGUAAAUGAAUAAUUCCCCCACAUCCGUAAGUCAGCCUACUUCUGUAAACAGAAAAACAAGGUAGUAGUCCCAUAGUCUAUUUUUUAAUCCAGAAAAAGUCAUUCUUGCAGCAAGAAUAAGGGAAACUAUGUCCCAAAAAUACCAGGUUUUCCAGAUAUAGGGAUCAUGUUUGACCAAAACAACCCUUGGCCUAAAAAUACUGCUAUAUUCAAAUAAGAGGAGUUGCUGUUAUUUAAUUUUACUAUACUAUUUAUACUUACAUGGGAUUUUUAUAAUGAUACUACUGUGGUUUUCACAGAUGUUUGGCUUGUAAAAAUGCUAAAGAUUACAAUCUUUAGGUCACCAACUACCUGUAUUUAUGGAGGCUACAGGACAGAGCACAGAACAGCCAGGAAGCCAAAACGCGCUCGAAUUACCUCCAGCACUUACUGCCGCGGGACUCAAACCCGAGUCCUUUCUGGGACUGCUUUUCCUUGAACAUAAAAAUGGGGGUGAUAUCACCUUCCACAGGGAUCUCCUAACUGUACAGAGGGCUUAGCACACUGUCUGGCACUCAGAGGCCUUGCUGGAUCGUGAUCCGCCCCCUCCAGUCAGCGACUGAGACCCCUCACUGGUUCAAGGGCAAACACAGUGCUGAGAGCUGUGUGCCUGGAUCCCGCCAGCAGGUGUGCUGGGGUAGGGAAUGGAAGUCAGGCAUCUUGAUCUCCAUAUGUAUCCACCGAUGGACACCCUGCCUGCCUUUCACUGGGCUCACCCUAAAAUGGUGAACAAAGAAAACAGCUCUCACCUCUGGAGCCAACACGGAGGGGUGGGUAUGAGUGCAGAUGUGGUGGGGGUGCUGGUGGAGGCUUGCUGCCCAUCUGGCUUUUCCUGUUAUUGACAUGCUCAGAUGAAAGUGGGCCCUGUUCACAAACAUGGCAUCCAUUCCUGGGACUCAUCCCGAGCAGAACCUCAAAUAAAAACCAGAACAAACUACACUAAUUUGCUGAACCCCAAAUGGAGCCAAAUUCAAAGCUCUUACGAAACUACAAACAGAACCACAGUUUCAAAAACACCAGGAAAAUAGUCUCAACAAGACAUUACCUACAUGAAGGAUGUCUGAAAUCUAUUUUAGUGUAAAAAUGCUAUAAGUUUACUCUCCUACUUUCUAAAAUUACUGAAUUAGUUAUUAAAAUAACAACCUAAGUAAUCUGACUGUAAAUUGAGCCAUAUUUUAUUUACCCUAAGAUCUCUCAAUCAAAUGGAGAUAUAACAAGGGUUAUCAAUUUCUACUGCAUCUAUUCCUGUAACAUAUUAAAUCUCCAUCUCCUUGAGAGAAGUACAUUGAUUUUUCCACAGGAGAAUUUUUUUCUAGCUCCAAGAACAGCUGAGGGCUGCAAAACUGAGCAGAUGGCCACAUGGAAGAAUCUGCUUGGUUGAUAAGAUAGUUUAAAAGAAAAAUCACCUGACUGCACAUCCCAAAUACCUGUCAAAGUAGGUCAUGAACACUGCUUGAUUGGAACAAACCAAAAUAUUUAAUGGAUCGAAUCUUCCAGAGUUCAUGAUAACUGCCCCACCAAAGGUCUGGGCUUAAGCACUGAUGUUUCCUUUAAUUAUAAAGCCCAGAUUGUAAGGCAAACACAGCCCUGCCAGUGUGUUUGUAGGUCCAGUCAGUGACUGUGCUGCGUCCACAAUGGUCUUUAUCAUUGUCACUUGUUUGACCUGACUAUAACUGAGUAAAGCAUCAUCAUUACAAAAUGCAGCAUGCGGGAUAGUAAUCACCUAAAGAUAUGGUUCAAGCACUUCACCAACCUCUGAACCUGAAUAUGCCUAAUGAAUUUUGUAAACCUUACAAAAAGUGAAGCCAGGUGAUUAUCAGAAAAAAGACAUGUGUCAUACUAAAGAAAGAGCAUGUUCUGGACCUGAGAAAACAGCAGUGCAGAAGGGAAUGUCUUUUCUCCACAGUGAUAUGUGGCCACAGCCUUGAACAGCAAAUUUGCAGAUUAAUGAAGAUAGUAAAAUAGAUCACAUCCUCCUGCCUCCAGGUAUAAUAUUUUAUUCAUAUAAGAGCUAUGUGAGCCUUGAUUUAUAUGAACUUUCAUUAGUAGGCAAAAUUCAAUCAUAAGGUUUCCUCUUUUCACCUCUAGGCGUCCUUAAAUUCAACACACAGUCAAAUGGUGAUUGGCUUCCCCUCUCCCUAGGUAAUACCCCACCCCCCAGCCUCCCAAAAAAGACAGAAAAAGAGGAAAAUGAAAAACAAGCACGUUAGAAAGGUGGCCAGACAAAACGGUUUGCAUCAACAACAUAACUUCUGAUUUGUUCUCCCGCUGGGACAGUCUAAUGCAGCCUCAUUCAGCUGUGCAUUUUCAAUAUUAUUCAACAGAGCCCACUCAGGUCAAAGUAGAGUCUUUUCCUUCACAAGUACAGAGAUACAACACUAGGUUUACGGGAGGGCUAUUUUCAAUCUUCUUGAGCGGUAAUGUGUUUCCAUUAUGGUUCCAUCUAUUUGUGAUCUAUAAUGCUUUCCAAAUAGCCCCAAAUUUCAAAGAAGCUCUAGUUGGUUCCAAAUGGAAAUGAGAUUACAUAUUUAGUAUUAUUUUAUUCUCAAAUGUUAGAUUUAAUUAGGUUGGGAGCAUUCAUUCAUCUGCCCAUUGUGUUUGUUGACUUCAUUAAGGGACAAUCACAGAAUUGCAGGGAAGUCCACGUAGGGCCCCCCAAACUGCGAUUGCUUUUAGCUUUUAUAAACCAUUAAAAUGUAAGUCAAGCACAUAAAUAUAUCUGCUAUGAAAAGAAGUGGUAUUGCUAAGUUCCCUGAUAGAUGAUGACAGGACUUCUCAGAAUUCGAAGGCCAGUGUUUUAAUCUUCAGGUUCUCUCAGGUCACGUGCUUGCCAAUGACAUUGGACCAGGAAUCUCCAGAGGUGAGAAAGCCCCGGCCAACCCCAAAUGCAGCUCUUGCUUGGUGAAAGCAGAGAUGGGGUGAGGACAGGGACACAGGCAGAACCCUGCCGCGCUCCAGCUGAGCUGCUCACUUGCCACUCCCAGAGAAAACAGGAGGAUCGACCUUUCUCUAUGCAACGUCUAAAAUUAAUUUGGUGCUUAAAAUCAGAGGUGGGUCAAGCAGUUGAUUACCUGAGGUUGCCUUUGGACUAACAAAGGCGUCUCUUCAGCAUGGUGAAUUGCUCUGAUGGCCCUGGGCCCGGAGCAGUGAUUUGAGAAAAUCACCCAUGGCAACCAUUAGGCAAUGAGUCUCCAUUGACUGCCAAAAUCUCACUGAAUAUUGAAGGAAAAGAGAAUUUAUAUGUAAUCCAAUUCAGAGCAACAACAACAACAACAUCAACAAUUCAAUGUUCCCCAGUUCUUCAUGGGAAAACUUCAAUCCAGGUCCAAAGAGAGCUGCAAGAACAGCGCAGUUCACACAGAAAGUCUGCAUUCACAGGCUGGGCUGGGGUCGCAACUCUGCGGGCCUCCCCACCCUGCCACGCUUUGUACUGCUGUGUGAUUUUAGCGGAGGCAUUUAGCUCACACAGCCUUAGUUUCCUCAUCUGUAAAAUUGAAUAGCUACCUUCUAGGCUUUGGGAGAAUGCAAUGGAAAAAGAAUCUUGCCUAGGGCAUCAUCAGCUCAGUAAAUAAUAGUUAUUAUCAUGAUGAUUAUCCUCCAGGUAGCUGUGAUGUGUAGAAGCCCAGAACCAAGUAGCACAGGAGACAGAGGUAGUUAAUUCAACCCUCCUCCAAUACAACUGAGUGCCCUAAUUAUCCGAAUAGAAGCUCCACUGCAGGAAAACUCUGUUUUGGAGCUCAAGGAAAGACCUACAAGGGAGAACCACAGAGCUGUAAUUAUCAGCUGAAAGAGGAAGGAAGUUCUAAUCUCACAGAGCCCUUGGAGACUUGUGAACACCCGAAGCUUGGAGAAGGCUUCAACAGGGAACAAACGGUGAAAGCCACACAAAAAUGAACUUAGCAGCAGGAAGGAGUACUCCACGUGCCCCUGCACCUCUCACCAAAGGGAUACAGAUAUGUGAUGGGUGUUUCUGUAAUAUAUGCCUCAUUUUCCAAUGGAAAACCUCCAUAUACACAUGAGUGCAUGGAGAGGUCAUAGUCACUGGUCAAGGAGUUAGAGAUGAGUGGGGAAAAGUGAUAGGGUGAGCAUCCUCAAUCUGGCCCCACCCUAUCUGGCGCCAGACACCUAAUGAACCACCUUUACUGGGGGAGACAGGGUCAAGGAUGAAGCAAUUUCCUCUUCAUAUCUAGCUAUCAUUUAUUCUACAUAGUUGAUGCAGGCAAUAUGCUGGCUGUUUGAAGCAGGUGAUAUUUCUAAUCCACACAAUGGCCUGAAAGGUAAGUAUUAUGGAAUCACUUAUCUGGAUAAAUAAAACAUGAGGUUCAGAGAGAUUACGUAACUGGCCUAGAUCAAUAGGUGGGUAGGCAGACAGGUAGGCAGGUAGAUAGAUAUAGAGAUUGAAAUAUACUUUAAAAACACUCUGUUUGCCCUACAUUCCUUGCUUUAGAUAGGAUUCUGAAUGUGGGGCGGGCAGGAAAGCUGUCAGUCACGAAGGGAGCCUGCCCACCACAAGGCGAGUCAUGUGACCCAGGCCAGAGAAUCAGGUUACCCCACAGGGAACAUCAGUGAUUGGCCCAGGGGUAAGCAGGUAGCUCAUGUAGCACCAGAGUCAUAUUUUUGAAGUUUUUAUGGAAGUUGGAAAGAUCUCUUUUGGAAAUUACCAACUCCAGAGAGGAUGUUAGCCUGGGAGUGCCAGGAACUUUCUGUGUCACUGGGGAAAGCGAGACUUGAUUCUCCGGAUAUCAUUGACCAUCUGGGUCCUGUGGUGCCUGACGCUAUGAGUUCUCAAAGUGGGGCCCCCAAAGCAGCAGCAGCAGCCUCAUGGCCUUGCUGGAAAUGCGAAUUCUCAACCUCAGCUCCCAGACUCACUGCAUUACAAACUCUGGAAGAUGGAGCUGACUCAGUGAGAUCUCUUUCCAAGCUCUCUAGAUGGGCCUGAUGCUUAUUUUGAAAAGCACUGUUCUAGGUCAAUCCAGGGAACUGUUAAACUUCAUGAGCCAAUAGAUACCCCUCUUCUUGCCUAAACUUUGAUUAUAAUAAAAGAAAAAUACAGCAAGAUAGUUUUGAGGGUUUUUUAAUAAAAAUUUACAAUUAUUUUUUAAUCGCAAGUAAACUUAAUUAUUUUACCAUUAAAACCUCUUCAACACAGAAAUUCCUUUGAGGUUUUUAGUUUUGUUCUGUGUUUGUUUGUAUGUGAGGCAAGACACCCCUGGAUGCUUGCAAAGAAGAGGCAAUUUGAAGUGAAACAGGCAGAUGUACAAUCUGAUCCCAUAAGUGACCCACUGCAGAACAGACAGCUGGACAUAUGGACAUAUGCAGCUGCCUGUCAUUUAUACACGAGAGUUAAACAGUUGGCAAAGAGAGUCUGGGCCACAGAGUGGUGAGCUGGCUAGAGGUGCGGAUCUAGCCAUUGGAUAACACUGUACUUAAAACACAAAACUCUAUCCAAGAAGAGGAAAUGAUUGAAUACGAAGUAUUUGAAAAAAGAUUUGAAAGACUGAAAAUGAAACACUUCCUUACAUUCGCUAAGUGAGCUGAGAAAGAAUUGCCCAGAAGGGUGAUACGGAGGGCUAGAGAAUGAAGACGACAGGGAGUGGAAGGAGAGAGCCCACCUACAUGGCACCCAGCUUUGCAGAGGCUCCUGAAGACACAAGGUUGAAGGCCCUGGACUCAAAAAUUUCCUUGACUCUGCCAGGCAAGAGGGUUAGCUGUUUCAGCAGAGGGUAGAGCCAAGCGAAAGCUGGAGAGUGAAUAAGAAAUGCUAGGAGCAAUUGCGUCAGGUGGGGCAACCAGGACUGUGUUUGCCUUCGGACCAGGGCUGCCGAGUACAGAUAGCAGGUGGUUUAUGUGAGGCCUGGAGCAGGGGUCAUUGCAGGAGACGGGGUUGCUGUGUGCCUAUAAAUGGAGUGAAAAAGUGAGUGCAAAGAAAUGGAAAAGUUAGGAGAUGCAGCAUAACCUGUGAAUCAUGAUCCCUGACAAAGUGGGGAGGCUCAUGGGUGCAGGUGUAGGUCUGCAUUGUGUUUUUCUAGGGUCACUCAUCUAUUCAUCCAACAAAUAUUCAACAAGCACCUGUUACAUACCAGAUUAUUACAUACAUGUGGCAGUGCACGUAACUGUGAAGCUGUGUACUACAGCUGCAGGGCGAGGACUGGGGCUUUAGCUCCCACCUUGUGCAAUGUGGGAUCUUCUCCAUCGUCAUAUCAAGCCACCCCACGUGUAUUUAAUGUAAGUUGGAACACUGUGCUUGCUACAAAAGUCAGCUUCAGAAGAAGCCCCUCCGUGGAUCACCACCUCCCUACAAGCUGCAGUCCUAAUCUCCUAUGUCAAAAUCAGGGACUGCUGCUGCCCCGGGGGGUUUAGAGAUGAAGACCCAGACUCUGACUGAGGAGUCUCCCAGUGAAAGGAAGGAGGCAGAAGCCCAGUCACCAGUGACGCCACCCAGCUGAGUGGACCGCGCAGAGGGAGGCGGACGCAGGGCACUCCAACAUGGACCUGAGAGGCACACACUGCAAUGCAAAUCCUCCACGAUAGUCCACAGGAUGUACUGGGAGAAACUGGAAGGCCACAGGAGAAACGUUUGCUCACGAAAACACAGGCAUUUCAUGUGCCUGGAGCACGGGAUGAAGAAUUCCUUAGACUUUGAGUGCCAAGCUAGUGCUUGGACUUUCUUCUAAAGGUCAUGGGUGAGCCCUUGGGGAAUGUGGAGACCACUCCGGCCUGCGAUGGAGAAGGAAAUUGUGCCAGAAGCUGGGAAGUCAAAGUUAACCCUCCAGGCUAGAUCUAGGGAAAGACUUGUCAGCUGUUUCUUCACUUCCAUGACCUUGGAAAAUCCGCUGUCUCCACCAGACACUGAUCCUUGGCACAGCCACUAUUUGAUACACUUAACUCUGCUCAGGAUUUUAGAUCUCAACCCAGGAAAUGAGCUACAGUCUCACCCCAGUGCUUGAAAUAGGUGUGCAAACAAUUCACAUAUUAUAAAUACGUUGACUUGGGCCGGGUGUGGUGGCUCACGCCUGUAAUCCCAGCACUUUAGGAGGCUGAGGCAGGAGGAUUACUUGAGGUCAGGAGUUCCAGACAAGCCUGGCCAACAUUGCAAAACCCUCUCUCUACUAAAGUACAAAAAUUAGCCGGGCAAGGUGGUCCGUGCCUGUAAUCUCAGCUACUCAGGAGGCUGAGGCAGGAGAAUCGCUUAAACCCAGGAGAUGGAAGUUGCAAUGAGGCGAGAUCACAACAACCCACUCCAGCCUGGGCGACAGAGCAAGACCCUGUCUCAAAUAAAUAACUAAAAUGAAAAUAAAUAAAUUGAUUUGUUUUCAUUCAUAUAUUUUGGGGAUACAAUGGAGCUUAAAGUUUGAAAACCAAAACGGAGCUGGCCACCAAAGGUGUGGAUUUGGUCAACAGGGUGUGGACUCCAGCAGCCCGUGUCACUCUCAGACUCCAUGUCUCAAUUUGAAUGUUUCCAUGUCACUUAAAAAGUAGAAUAUUCAUAGUGAUGUUGAAGAUACAAAAGAUAUACCAGGAUUAAUUUUCUAGUCAAUUUUAUGUGUCUGUGACCCAAGACAAUAAAAGUUAAGUCAUCGUUAGUUCCUUAGUUGCUGGACACUUUAGCCCAAUAUACCACCUUCAAUUUUGAAUUAUUAUUUGGACUGUGUUCAUGAGAUUCUUGGAGUAUGUUAAAUCAACACAUUUCUUUGUAAUUAUUGAGAACCUUUUGUUCCCUAUAAAAUCAAGUGUACGAUGAUGUAAACUAUAAAACGCAAAUUGUAGGGACAAUUGGUAAUCUGCAGUGAAAAUAAAGUCAAAAUAGCAAAGAGCAGAUUAUUCUCAAAUUUAUGUAACAGAGUUCUUACAUGUGGAAGUGGAUACAAGUAUUAGCACAUUCAGUUGAUGUACUGAAAAUAAAAUGAAACUAUUUUUCUACUUACUACUUGCUUGUGAAAUCCAAAGGGGUGAAUAAGAGCCAGGAUUCAUUGUCAUGAGUGUAGGGGUGCCCUGGGAAGGAGGCCUCCAUCCCACGUGUCAGUGGCGUCAUCAGAAAUUCCAUGAUCGUCGGCUUAUUCUUUGCACACGUGUCUACAGGGUCCCUCCGCACACCGACUUGGUGUCCUCCAGGAUGCAGAAAACCCAAAUUAAACUAGUUUAAUGAAUAAGGAAACUAAGUGGCUCUUAGGACCAUAAGCCCUGCGGUGACGCCUGCUUCAGGGCUGGAGGAGCUAAGUGUUCUCUGGUUCACCAAAGCCCCCAGUUCUUUCCGUCUGUCACUCAUAGCUUCGGCUUCGUCCCCGGCUCACUGCCAGUGGUAAUCAGGCUGCCCAAGAACUUCUGAAAUCCACAGCCCGGUGUUUCCAAACGAAUUAUCAGUAGGGUUGGAAUCCCUUCUCCCCAGCCCCAGCCCCAGCAAGGCCCUCCAACGCCACUGCAGUUCCCUGGAUAGCAGGAAGAGGCCUGAGCCGGCUCUCCCGGAGCUCCAGGUGCAGAGUCUCCCCACAUGGGAGUCAGUGUUCUCAGAGCAGCAUUUGUUGACCUGAGCUAACCAAGUUCUCUAACUGAAAGCCUGGCUGUGUAAAGCCACAGAUGUCUGGCAUUAGAAUAGCUCAAGGACAGGAGAAAAAACUGACAAUCAGUCCAGAACGGCAUCCCAGGACUUCUGCUCUGAGGAGAAAACAGGACUAAACCCCAGCUGAGGUCUAUUUCCAACUCCAAGAUUCUGCAAUGUUAUCUCUGUUUAAAAAGAUAUCCCACUUUUUGAUGACAGUGUGUCUGGAAUUGGUGGGUUCUUGGUCUCACUGACUUCAAGAAUGCAGCUGCGGACCCUGGCGGUGAGUGUUACAGCUCUUAAAGGCGGCAUGUCCGGAGUUUGUUCCUUCUAGGUGGGUUCCUGGUCUCUCUGGCUCAGGAGUGAAGCUGCAGACCUUAGCGGUAAGCUGUUACAGCUCUUAAGUCAGCGCGUCUGGAGUCGUUCGCUCCUCCCGGUGGGUUCGUGGUCUCGCUAGCCUCAGGAGUGCAGCUGCAGACCUUCGUGGUGACUGCUACAGCUCAUAAAAGCAGUGUGGACCCAAAGACUGAGCAGUAGCAAGAUUUAUUGCAAAAGACGAAUGAACAAAGCUUCCACACGACAGACACAAACCCUAACAGAUUGCCACCGCUAGCUCGGAGAGCCUGCUUUUCUUCCCUUAUCUGGCUCCACCCACAUCCUGCUGAUUGGCCCAUUUUACAGAGAGCUGAUUGGUCUGUUUUACAGAGAGCUGAUUGGUCUGUUUUGACAGGGUGCUGAUUGGUGCGUUUACAAUCCUGAGCUAGACACAAAGGUUCUCCAAGUCCCCACCAGAUUAGCUAGACACAGGGUGCUGAUUGGUGCAUUUACAAACCUUGAGCUAGAUACAGAGUGCUGAUUGGUGUAUUCACAAUCCCUUAGCUAGACAUAAAUGUUCUCCAAGUCCCCACCAGAUCAGCUAGACACAGAGUGCUGAUUGGUGCAUUUACAAACCUUGAGCUAGAUACAGAGUGCUGAUUGGUGUAUUUACAAUCCCUUAGCUAGACAUAAAGAUUCUCCAAGUCCCCACCAGACUCA
rnacentral:lncRNA from 1 species